CCUAUGGCACACUCUGAUUACUUCAGUGGAAGGAGCCUGCUCCCCAACACCACGCUAUGGGGCUGGAUUGCCCCCACCAUGUCAUCUGCUCAGGUUUCCAAAUUUGAGGCCAGACUUGGCUGCUUACAGCUCCAGGAAGGGCUGAAGAGGACCCAGUGAGGCAGGUAUUGCUGACUCCACUUCAUAGAUGCGGAAAAGGAGGCUCCGGGAGGUUAAGUGACUUGCCUCGGGUUACAGAGCUGAAAAUGCCUGCAUGGGUCAGCUCCCACCCCCCAACUCCAGUCAUUGGAUCCAUUCCCUGGACCCCAGUACCAGUCAGUGGAGUGGAGCAGAAUCAGAAGUGGACACUCAAUCAACUCCCAAAACAGAUCCCCAGCCCCCAGCGCCUUCUGGCUUGCCUUGAAAUCAGCCCCCUCCGAGGUCCCCGCUCUCUCACCAUGUCUCCCAGCGGCUCGGGCCUGUGGGCAGCAGCACUGGCCCAGACGGCUUCCUCCGGGCGGCCCGGGCUCACUUCCUGCUCGCUCCCGCCGUCGGCCUGCCCCCGCCCACCUCGCGUCCCAGCCGCGCCUGCCGCACCUCCCGGAGGUUCCCCCAGGUAGGCGGCACCGCCGCGGCCAACGCCGUCUCCUCCUAAGCCCGGGCUUAGGCAGAAAGCAACAGGGUUUCCCGGCACCGAAGGCCUUCUACCUCCUCAGGAACAAGAAAGCAAAGAUCAAACAGCCCUCCAGGGUUCCUGAGGCUGGACCUCCUGAUACAGAACAGGCUUCCAGCGACUUUUUUUAUGUCCCGAAUGUCUGAGCCCAAUUCUCGGAAACGGAAAUCAACCAUAAGCACGCGGCCAGGCCUACUUGUUGGGGAAACAGAGUGCAGGUGCUAAUGCUGACCUCAGGACCGCGGUGAGGAGGAAAAGGAGAGCACAUGCUUUGUGUCUAGCACAGUGCCUGGAAUGAAGGGUAGUCCACUGUGCAAUCAGGACAUAUGACUCACCAACAUCUCCUGUCCUCCCAGAGCUCAACCAUCCUGCAUUUCCCCUCAGGGGCCCCUACGGGGUAUGGUGAGCCCUCAGAAAUGUCAAAGCACUGCCCUAUAGAACAGAGAGAGGGGGGCCCAGGGCAAAAGAAUUUUCCAACUUGGCUCCAGGCCAGAGAAAAUCCACUCUUCCUGGAUGGUGUUUAUCAUGACAGAAGGACAAUAACAGGGAUAUGCAGAAGGGAACAAAUAUUCCUGUCCCAUCCCAGAAGAAGUAACAGUUCCAAGGGGGAAACGUCAGCUUCUUUAACAAAUACUUUUUUUAAAAGAUCUAAUAAAUUUUGGACCCCUGUAGCAUUUUGAGAGACUUUAUUCUAAUUUAUAAUGAAAUCUUUUCCCCAAUUAGAUGAGAUUAUUAUUUUUACAGACCUGAAUUUUGGUGGAUGGUAACAGCCUGCUUUCACAGAGAAUGUGGCUGCCCCAAUUCUCACUACCCUUAGAAAGACUACAAAGUGGCCAAGUGGAGGUGGGUCAGAAUACUUGAUCUAUACUUGUGCUAAUAUAGUAACCACUGACCACAUGUGGCUGUUGAGCACCUGACGUAUGUCUAGUCUGAAUUGAGAUGUUGGAGUAAAAUAUACACUGGAUUUCAAAAACUUACUAUGAAAAAAGGAUAUAAAUAUCUCAUUAGUAAGUUUAUAUAUUGAUGACAUGUUGAAAUAAUAUUUUGAAUAUAUUGAGUUAAAUAAAAAAUAUUGACAG